UUAAAGUAGUAAGGGCGCAGGGUGGAUGCCUUGGCACUAAGAGCCGAUGAAAGACGUGAUAAGCUGCGAAAAGCUUCGGGGAGGAGCACAUAUCCAAUGAUCCGGAGAUAUCUGAAUGGGGAAACCCGGCAGAGGAAACCUCUGUCAGCGUGCAGUGAAUACAUAGCUGUACGUGGGGAACCCGGGGAACUGAAACAUCUAAGUACCCGGAGGAAGAGAAAGAAAAUUUAUCGAUUUCCAAAGUAGCGGCGAGCGAAAUGGAAAGAGCCCAAACCGUGAUGCGUGCAUCGCGGGGUUCGGACUGCGUUGUGGCAGACGUAAGAUAGGAGAACGGACUGGGAAGUCCGGCCGGAGAGAGUGAAAGCCUCGUAUCCGAAAUCCCAAGUCGCCUAGCAGGAUCCAGAGUAGGACGAGACACGAGAAACCUUGUCUGAACGAGCGGGGACCACCCCGUAAGGCUAAAUACUUCUUAGUGACCGAUAGCGCAUAGUACUGUGAAGGAAAGGUGAAAAGUACCCCGGGAGGGGAGUGAAAGAGAACCUGAAACCCUGUGUCUACAAGCUGUGGGACCUCUUUAUAUGAGGGACUGCGUACUUUUUGUAGAACGGUCCGGCGAGUUGUGCGUACUGGCGAGGUUAAGGACUUAAGGUCUGGAGCCGAAGUGAAAGCAAGCGUUAAUAGCGCGUCAAGUCAGUGAGUGCAGACCCGAAACCGGGUGACCUAUCCAUGUCCAGGUUGAAGCUUCCGUAAGAGGAAGUGGAGGACCGAACCCACAUCCGUUGAAAAGGGUGGGGAUGAGGUGUGGAUAGCGGAGAAAUUCCAAUCGAACCCGGAGAUAGCUGGUUCUCCUCGAAAUAGCUUUAGGGCUAGCCUCAUGAGAGUCUUAUGGAGGUAGAGCACUGAAUUGCCUAGGGGGCGUCAAAGCUUACCAAAGCAUAUCAAACUCCGAAUGCCAUCAAGAUGAUUCAUGGGAGUCAGACCAUACGAGAUAAGUUGGAUGGUCAAAAGGGAAAGAGCCCAGACCUACAGCUAAGGUCCCAAAGUGCGUGUUAAGUGGAAAAGGAUGUGGGGAUUCUAAGACAACUAGGACGUUGGCUUAGAAGCAGCCAUUCAUUGAAAGAGUGCGUAAUAGCUCACUAGUCGAGAGUCCCUGCGCCGAAAAUGUCCGGGGCUGAAACACGACACCGAAGCUUAGGAAUGUGUAAACAUUGGUAGAGGAGCAUUGCUGGCGGGAUGAAGCCAUACCGUAAGGAGUGGUGGACUGCCAGGAAGAGAGAAUGCCGGAAUGAGUAGCGAGAUGAAGGUGAGAAUCCUUCAGGCCGAAUAUCUAAGGUUUCCAGAGUAAAGCUGAUCUGCUCUGGGUAAGUCGGGACCUAAGGCGAGGUCGAAAGACGUAGUCGAUGGAUAACAGGUUGAAAUUCCUGUACCGCAUAUAAACAGAACUGUGGGGACACAGACAGGGAAUGGAAUCCGGGAGUGGAGAUCCCGGUGCAAGCGAGGUAGGAGUGCUGUUGGCAAAUCCGCAGCACGAUCUGAAGACGUGACGCGUACCGAACAUAAGUAGGGAAGUCCAGGCCCCUGGCUGUCAAGAAAAGCCGCUAUUGUUUUAUAUGUGCCCGUACCGCAAACCGACACAGGUGGAUGAGGAGAGAAUCCUAAGGCCGACGGGAGAAGUAUUGUUAAGGAACUCGGCAAAAUGACUCCGUAACUUCGGGAGAAGGAGUGCCAUGAGAGUGGCCGCAGAGAAAUGGCCCAAGCAACUGUUUAGCAAAAACACAGGUCUAUGCAAAACCGCAAGGUGAAGUAUAUGGGCUGACGCCUGCCCGGUGCUGGAAGGUUAAGGGGAGAUGUCAGGAGACGAAGCAUCGAACUUAAGCCCCAGUAAACGGCGGCCGUAACUAUAACGGUCCUAAGGUAGCGAAAUUCCUUGUCGGGUAAGUUCCGACCC
rnacentral:rRNA from 1 species